rnacentral:rRNA from 1 species
AGUGGUUUUGUAAAUGUUAUUUAAUUUGAGUAGUAAAAAGUUAUUGUAUUUAUGUAAGAUUUAAUUAUUUUUAUUAUAAUUAAUUAGUAUUGUAAAAGAAUUGGUGAAAUAUUUAUGUAAGUUAAUUUAAUUAAUUGUACCUUGUGUAUCAGGGUUUAUUAAAAAGUUGUUAUUAAAUAUAAUAAUCUCGAAUUUUGGAGAGUUAAUUAGAUAAGUUAAUUAUUGUUAUAUAAAUAUUAAUAAUAUUUUAUUGGAGAUGAAAUGUUAUUAGAUCUAAAAUAUAUCUAGUUUUUUAAGAAAUAAAUUUAAUUUAGAUUUUUGUUGAUAAUAGUUUAUUUUAAAAAUAUUAUUUGAAUGAAAAUUAAUAAUUAGAGGGAUUAGCUUUUAAUUAGAUUUUUAUAAAUAAAAUUAUUAGUAGAAUUUUGUGGAGUUAAAAGUAGUCAUUGAUUGAAGUAUGUUAAAAUUUUAUUUUAUUUAUUACUUAUUUAUAUUAAUUGUUUUAAAAUUAUAUUAAAAUAAUGAAUUUAAUGGAAAAUUUUAUGUAAUUAUGAUGAAAUUAGUAUAGUAAUGUAUUUUUUGAUGCAAUUUAUUUAUAAAUUGAAAUGAGGAAUUAAGCAAAAUAAUUAUUCGCCUGUUUAUCAAAAACAUCUUCUUUUGACUUGGAUAAAAGGUAAGACCUGCCCACUGUAAUUGAAGGGCUGCGGUAUUUUGACCGUACAAAGGUAGCAUAAUCAUUAGUCUUUUAAUUGAAGGCUGGAAUGAAUGGUUAGACGAGAUAGUAACUAUCUUUAUUUUAAUAUAUAGAAUUUAAUUAUUGAGUAAAAAAGCUUAAAUUUUGUUAUGGGACGAGAAGACCCUAUAGAAUUUUAUAUAAUGAUUUAUGUUUAGGUUAAUUAUUAUAUGAUAUGGAUGAUUAUAUUUUGUUGGGGUGACAAAAAGAUAAAAAUAACUCUUUUUUUUAAUUGUAUAUUGAUUUAUAUGAUGUUGAUCCUUUUUAGAUUAAAAGAACAAAUUACCUUAGGGAUAACAGCGUUAUUUUUUUUAAGAGUUCUUAUCGAUAAAAAAGUUUGCGACCUCGAUGUUGGAUUAAAAAUUAAAUUAGGUGAAGAAGUUUAUAAAUUUUAAGUCUGUUCGACUUUUAAAAUUUUACAUGAUCUGAGUUCAAACCGGCGUGAGCCAGGUUGGUUUCUAUCUAUAAUAAAAUGUUAUAAUUUAGUACGAAAGGACCAAUUAU